AGAAGUAGGAACAGUCUUUUUACCUCUAAGUUGUCUGGUGGCCAGCAGGAUGUAGAAGCAUAUUUCCUUCUGGCUUUGAUGUUUCAUAUUUCACAGAAGAGUGGAAAGGUGGAAAGCUC